UGAUGUUAACACCAUUGUGAGGCAGUUUGCUGUUACACCUAAGAGCAAGAAAGAGAAGGGAUUUAAAUUAUAUAUUUCAAGCUACAUUGACAACGUUGAGGAUUGUAUUAAAAGACUCUCGUCCUGUAACACUGUCACAGAGUAGUUGUUCUUGUGUUGCUGGGACAGCAAUGUGCAACCACAUUGUUGCACUACUCUACCAAACAGCCCACUACUCACAGCUUGGCAUCAGUGCAGUUCCUCCAGUUCACAGCUGUACUGAAACGGAGCAGAGCUGGCAUAAACCUAGAACAAUGGGAGUCAAGCCAGGUCCUGUCAAUAAAAUGGUGG